GGUGCUGAGCUGAAGAGCACAGAUAGUUCACAAGCCAGUGGAUCACUUGAGAUCCAGAAACCUGUAAGACGAAACAGCAUGGAAUUUCCACCUAAUAUGUCACAAGACAUAGAUUGUGCUAAAGACAAGAAGUUCAUCGUUAAAACAUUUGACACGCUCUAAAAAGGACAAAAAACACCAUGAAGUGGCAUAACGGUGGUCCAUCUGAGAGAACUUGCCUUCAUGAUGCUAUGUGUGGGUUUGUUAAAGGGAACAUGACUCUCAUUUUGUUCAUAUGUGACUGCUGGUGAACACAGGUGUUAAAUUUAGCCCCUCCCACACUAUAAAUCACACUUAAAUGUGUGUCAAUCAAAUUCUGCAUAAGAUUUUCUCACAAUGUACUUUCUGAAGUACUUUUGCAAUGACUUUUAACCUGCUGUUAUCAGGGUAAUUUUUCCAUUCCAUUCCAUUCCAAUGGCAUUUAAUAUUCCAAGAAUGUUCUCUGUUACUGGAUAACCAACUGGAUAACUGUAACAUAGUUCUGUUUUGUUGACACCACAAUGUGCUUUAAAACAUCAAAGCAUUUUAGAAUGCAUCCUGGAAUAACUGUUUUAGAACGGUUAAAAGGGAGUUCAUUCUUCAGUCAUAAAUGAACUGUGUGUAAGUCAACACUGUAGACACUGCAAAUAAACAAUAAUGUUUAUGAUAUAAUGAAUGCUAAGAACGUAGAUAUUUAAAUUGUGUUUAAAAUAUAGAUAUUUUUAUUUGAUCAUUGAACUAAUCUGAAUGUUUGUAAAGUUUAUUCUAAUAUUCACUUUAAGAAAACCUGUAGUGUAGCUUUAAUUAUACAAUUUUUAAUGGAGCAAAGAAGAAACUCCAGUGUGGCUAUCUACAUUAAAACAACACAUGCUUAAGACUAAAGAAAAAAUCUAAAAAUAUGUUUCCAAGUUUGUGCUGUUUAAUACUAAAACUGUUUAUGUGAUAUUAUGUAAAUCGGAGUUAUGUGAA